rnacentral:rRNA from 1 species
GACGAACGCUGGCGGCGUGCUUAACACAUGCAAGUCGAACGAUGAAGCUGGAGCUUGCUCCGGUGGAUUAGUGGCGAACGGGUGAGUAACACGUGAGCAAUCUGCCCUUGACUCUGGGAUAACUGCGGGAAACUGUAGCUAAUACCGGAUACUUUCACUGGAAGGCAUCUUCUGGUGAAGAAAGAAUUUCGGUCAAGGAUGAGCUCGCGGCCUAUCAGCCUGUUGGUGAGGUAACGGCUCACCAAGGCGACGACGGGUAGCCGGCCUGAGAGGGUGACCGGCCACACUGGGACUGAGACACGGCCCAGACUCCUACGGGAGGCAGCAGUGGGGAAUAUUGCACAAUGGGCGCAAGCCUGAUGCAGCAACGCCGCGUGAGGGAUGAAGGCCUUCGGGUUGUAAACCUCUUUUAGCAGGGAAGAAGCGAGAAUGACGGUACCUGCAGAAAAAGCACCGGCUAACUACGUGCCAGCCGCCGCGGUAA